rnacentral:rRNA from 1 species
AUUGAACGCUGGCGGCAGGCCUAACACAUGCAAGUCGAGCGGAUGAAGGGAGCUUGCUCCUGGAUUCAGCGGCGGACGGGCGAGUAAUGCCUAGGAAUCUGCCUGGUAGUGGGGGCUAACGUCCGGAAACGGGCGCUAAUACCGCAUACGUCCUUAGGGAGAAAGUGUGGGAUCUUCGGACCUCACGCUAUCAGAUGAGCCUAGGUCGGAUUAGCUAGUUGGUGGGGUAAAGGCCUACCAAGGCGACGAUCCGUAACUGGUCUGAGAGGAUGAUCAGUCACACUGGAACUGAGACACGGUCCAGACUCCUACGGGAGGCAGCAGUGGGGAAUAUUGGACAAUGGGCGAAAGCCUGAUCCAGCCAUGCCGCGUGUGUGAAGAAGGUCUUCGGAUUGUAAAGCACUUUAAGUUGGGAGGAAGGGCAGUAAGUUAAUACCUUGCUGUUUUGACGUUACCAACAGAAUAAGCACCGGCUAACUUCGUG